rnacentral:ncRNA from 1 species
AUAGCGAAAGGGCAAAGUCACCGAAAGAUGGCGACGCAAAACCGUGGAUCUAAAGCCAUUUAUGGCCAAGAUAGCCAGGUUACCGAA